AUGGAAGUGAGGAUUUUUUCCCCAGAUGAUCGACGCUGAUUAAACUGCGCUUAUUUUUAUUUUCUCAUUCUCUUGAGAAUCCAAGCCAGAAUUCUGAUCCGU